GGGAUGAAUCAAUGUUAUCUGCUAUUAAGAUGGCAUGGCAACGUAAAGCUGCGGAACGGUAUAGAGCAUUGAUGUGUAUUUUGAGAAAGGGGAAAGAAAAAUCAAUGCAUGUGUCUGACUCUGCAUGGAAGACAUGGACCGAGGCAUGGAAUUCCCCGGAAUUUAAAACUCGGUGUAAGAAAGCUAUCGCAAACUGACUCACUGAGAUUGCAAGACCUGGAUCUGGUAUAUCCCGACACACAGGAGGUUCCAUUUCUCAUGCUUCCUAUGCGGAUAGAUUGCGAUCGAGGCUUGGACGCGAUCCUCGCCCUUUGAAGUAACUCAUACAAAGAAGGGUACCUCCAUGCUUGUUGAUGCACGUGCUCAAUCUAUUAAGGAUCGCUAUCUGGAGCUUGUGGAGCAAGCAUCUCAAACGCAAGAAGGGCAUGACGAGCUUCCUAUUGUGGAUGAAAUAGCUUUGUACUAUGAGGCUGUUGGGGGAGGAAAGAAAAGUUAGGUUUAUGGAAUAGGGUCCCAGGGGUGUAUCUUUUAUCCACAUUCAUCUUCGAGUUUGUCCAUAGGUUCAUCAUCUGAGGCACUACAUGCUGAGGUUAGAGAUUUGCGUCAAACUCUUAGUCAAGUCCAAGAUCGUGAGGAGAGGCUUCAACAAACACUUGACCACGUCCAAGAUCGUUAGGAGAGGCUUUAACAGACGCUUGGCCAAGUACAAGAUAAUAACAAGGAGCUUCAACAAAGUUUGCUUGAAAUGAAAGAGGAGGGACCAAUAUCGUGCGGAGAUGAUGGGUCAAAUGAAGGACAUGAUAAUGAGUUUUGAUAGGAGGAUUUCUCAACAGACGCAGUUUACCACACAGGACUCACAACCAGUUAUUGACGAUCAUGAUGUUGACUUAUAGUUGUAUUUGUCGUAUACGUAUUAUUUUGUG